rnacentral:tRNA from 1 species
GUUGGGGUUACGCGAAUUCGAGGCGGCGAGGCUGCGGAUCGCGCAGAUCAACGGGUGCGUGUUCUGCCUCGACU